CUCCUACGGGAGGCAGCAGUGGGGAAUAUUGGACAAUGGGCGCAAGCCUGAUCCAGCAAUGCCGCGUGUGUGAAGAAGGCCCUAGGGUUGUAAAGCACUUUCAGUUGGGAAGAAACGCAGAGUGAUAAUACCGCUCUGUAAUGACGUUACUGACAGAAGAAGCACCGGCUAACUCCGUGCCAGCAGCCGCGGUAAU
rnacentral:rRNA from 1 species